UGUGUUCACUUCCCCACUUCUGUCCAUAAUUCUGUCCAUAAUUUAAACUGCCACCUCAGUGGGAUCAGCUUUUGUCCUUUUCAGGAGAUGGGUGAUUGUUUGCAGUGUCUCAUGUUCUUUGAUUCUGUAUAGAUCACUGCACACAAAGGACCAACUAACGACACCCAUCAAUCACAGUGACAGAUAAUCUCUCCCUUUUAUCACAACAAUACACCCACAACAAAAAACACGCUGAUCACCACAAUCACCCAUCUCCUGAAAAGGACAAAAGCUGAUCUCACAGCUAUAAAUACUCAACUAUCCAAACAAACUGCACCAGAGCACAGACAGAGUUCUGACUCCUGUCUUCUGAAGAUGCCGGCCACAGAGACUGGCGAAACGUUCGGAAGAACAACCUUCAGAACAUGGCCAAAGAGCCCGAAAAACCCUCAACAACCAUCAGAUCCUGGCCAUGAAAGCCUUUGAGCAUACAUUGCCACCUCAGUGUUCUAGGUUUUGUCUGCAGGUUAAUUGCUGUUAUUCUUACAUUUACAGCCAUUUACAUCUCAGAUGGCAGGGUUGGAUGAAAAAUCUGGACUCUCUGGUCAAAUGGGGUUCAUGCCCGGUGCAGUGGGUCCUGUGGGUCCAAGAGGGCCUCCAGGUCUGACAGGACAACCCGUAAGUGCCCGUUAUACAAAACCUAAUACUUUGGCUGCAUUCAGAAGUAAAAAUAAAGUAGAGUUUACCCUCAUAGGAAGAACUCAUUCUG
rnacentral:lncRNA from 1 species